rnacentral:lncRNA from 1 species
CCAGCUAUGCAAGAGGCAGAUAAGAAGCCAUCAAACCUGGAACCGUCAUGUACCCAGUGCAGUUCAGAGCCCUUCGUACCAUGGGCUCUUGUGUGUGCACUUGUCUGCUUCUCUAGUGAGAAGGCAGAUGUGGCAGCUCUUUAGUCAAUCCAGGUCCCGAGGAAGCUGGCAGAGCUGUAAGGACCCAGCACAAGCAACUGCCGAAGGCAGCGAGGCUCCUUAUAACCAGAAACUGAUAAUUGGAACCACAGUCUUCUCAACUGCAAGCUGCAAACCUCCCUCAAACAAAGGGAGAAGGGAAACAAAACAUCAAAACGACAGCAGGGGAAUGGCUUCUGUCCUCUGACUCUUCUGUCCUCUGACUCUCGGUGGAAGUGAUCAGAUGUGUGUCAAAGGCAGUCGACAAGAACGCUCUAGAAAAGAAGUCCACCAGGCAAACAGAACUGAGAUGCUGAGCGGGGAGGUAGGACUGUGAACAAGGGGAAACCACCUUGCAGCCAAAAAGCUGUGCUCACUGACAGCCCAAUCUGGCACAUCGCUGGAGGGUCACAGAACAUCAGACUCCCUCCUGUCCCUGCAGACCUACGUAUCAGAGUUUUCAUGCUUUUAAACCAAGGGACAUAAACAGCUGGCCAUUUCUCAUUCUUUCAGCUUUAGGGAAAAACAAAUUCAUAAAACUCUUAGCAGGUUCAGGACUCAAGUACCCUAGAACCACAGUUUAAGUCCUUAAUUAGAAAAUGAAUUUAAAGCCGUCACACCCAUCAUUAGAACAGUGACAGCCACAGACUAGAGCGCAGACUUGAUGUCUCACCCACCCACAAUCCAGGAAGUAAAUAAAUAAAUAAUCUCAGUUCCA